rnacentral:rRNA from 1 species
GGGGAAUAUUGCACAAUGGAGGAAACUCUGAUGCAGCAACGCCACGUGAGUGAAGAAGGUUUUCGGAUUGUAAAGCUCUGUCAUCUGGGACGAUAAUGACGGUACCAGAUGAGGAAGCCACGGCUAACUACGUGCCAGCAGCCGCGGUAAUACGUAGGUGGCAAGCGUUGUCCGGAAUUACUGGGCGUAAAGGGUGCGCAGGCGGACAUUUAAGUGAGAUGUGAAAGACCCGGGCUUAACUUGGGCAGUGCAUUUCAAACUGGAUGUCUGGAGUGCAGGAGAGGAGAACGGAAUUCCUAGUGUAGCGGUGAAAUGCGUAGAGAUUAGGAAGAACACCAGUGGCGAAGGCGGUUCUCUGGACUGUAACUGACGCUGAGGCACGAAAGCGUGGGUAGCAAAC